rnacentral:rRNA from 1 species
ACGACUCUCGGCAACGGAUAUCUCGGCUCUCGCAUCGAUGAAGAACGUAGCAAGAUGCGAUACUUGGUGUGAAUUGCAGAAUCCCGUGAACCAUCGAGUCUUUGAACGCAAGUUGCGCCCGAAGCCCUUCGGCGGAGGGCACGUCUGCCUGGGUGUCGAA